rnacentral:rRNA from 1 species
CCUACGGGAGGCAGCAGUGGGGAAUAUUGGGCAAUGGGCGCAAGCCUGACCCAGCCACGCCGCGUGAAGGAAGAAGGCUCUCGGGUUGUUAACUUCUUUUGUCAGGGAAGAGUAGAAGACGGUACCUGACGAAUAAGCCACGGCCAACUACGUGCCAGCAGCCGCGGUAAUACGUAGGUGGCAAGCGUUGUCCGGAUUUACUGGGUGUAAAGGGCGUGUAGGCGGGUUGACAAGUCAGUUGUGAAUUCCUGGGGCUUAACCGAAGAACUGCAUUUGAAAUUGUUGAUCUUGAGUACUGGAGAGGCAGACGGAAUUCCUGGUGUAGCGGUGAAAUGCAUAGAUAUUAGGAGGAACACCAGUGGCGAAGGCGGUUGGCUGGACAGCAACUGACGGUGAGGCGCGAAAGCGUGGGGAGCAAACAGGAUUAGAUACCCGGGUAGUC